GCCCUCAUAGCGUAGUGGGAGAGCGUGAGCCUGUUACUUCGGCCAACAAAGGAGAUGGGUUGUAAUCCUUUGUUGUGUUCAGAAAACAGAAAAGCUUGAGGUCGUCUGUUCGAUCCAGACUGGGGGCG